GAGUGAUAACAAAAAACGCCAUUCACCGUGGACGGUUGAGAAGUAGAGUGUGUUGUUAGAGCAUCAUAAGUCAAUACGGUGGUCCAUUUCAUAUGUUCACAGAAAGAAAGUCAGAACAUUCUGGAAUAAUGGCGACAUUUAUUGGUGUUAAAAUUAAUAAUAAAUUGAAUCAAUUCUAAUAUUGUAUUUUUAUUGGCUUUAUCAUACUUCAUUGUACUUAUGUCGACGUUACAAUAUCAAUGAGCAAAAAAAGAAGACAGUUUCCAGCGUAACAGAAUGUAAGAAUAUUGCGAAGAACAUUUCAAGAAUGUACUAGGUCAUUUCCACCAGCUACUUAUAGUAAAACUCGAGUAAAACACAAAUUUUCAUGGAACAGCUUUGUGUGAAAUCUAAUAAGAACAGCUGUUUUUUGAAAAAGAAAACAGUAGAAGUAAAAGUUGAAAAAUAACAAGUAAAAUAUAUUUUAUUUUAAUAAAACGAUAUGGAGGGAAAUGGAAGAAAAAUUGUUUCGUGUUUACCAAAAACGUCUCUGCAAUGGCAAAACGGAAAGAAAUUGUAUUUACAUAUUGCAAAUUGCAAUUAUUUAACGAAUUAUAUGAUGAAUUAGUAUUCAGUGUCCAGGAAAAUAUAGAAGCACAUACACAUACACAUGGACACACAAUUCCACCAAAGACUUGUUAUCUUUAAUAUCCAUGAGCAUAAAAAUGGUUGGAAAAUACCGUAAGUUGAGGAGUAAAGCCUUGAUAUGGAAAUUUAUUUUCACAUGAAUGAGCGAAGUAGGCUACUCCUUUAAUCCAACUCAAGUGAAAUCGAAAUUCAGAACUAUGGAGCGGCAAUACAAAAAAUCUAAGUUAAGCAACAGCCAAACUGCAAGAAAUCGAAUGGUUUCCUCUUACCAAAGGCAGGAGGUUCUAGAUAUCACCGUGACUACUGCACAAAAUUCAUGGGUCUAUCAAAAAAUGGAAAAUGUCCACUAGGCACUCUUUUUUAGACUUUAUGAUUUUAGAAUCUUCUUAUAGUCUUAACAUAAAGGUAUCAAAUAUCCCCAGUUUAGAAACUUUCAGAAAUAUCAAGAAUACAAACUGGUCAAAGUACGAAUCAUCUGUAAAUGAGCUGUUGACAAAUACAGCUCUUUACCCCCAGAGAAUAUAAAUGAUCUGGAUAAGCAGGUGUGAGAUCUUACCUCAAUACUUAAUGAAGCUUUUAACCUUGCCUGUCCUUCUACUCGAUCUAGUAGGUAGUGUAACCCACCUUGGUGGAAUAGAAGCUUAGAACACUUGAGGAAAGAAUGCAGGAGAAUUUUUAAUAGGGCACUGAGACUGACUGAUCCGAAUACAACAUCUCUCUGCAGAAAAGAAUUACAUAAGUCUAAGAGGACUAGUUGGCAAUCAUAUUGUCAAGAGAUUAGCAGAGAUUUUGAAACCUCUACACUACGCAAAAUCCUAUCUAAAAAUCCACUGUUUAUCUAAGGAAACCGGAAGGAACUUGGUCAAACCCUCAGAAUGUUUAAACUACAUAUCGGUAAACUCCAAGUUAAACCUACAAACUCUGAAAUGGGCAAUUUUUAGCUUUAGGCCCUACAAAUCACCGGGACCGGAUGGUAUACAUCCUAUUGAGCUUUAGAAGUCUUGUGAACAAAUACACAACCGGCUUCUGGCCAUUUUUAAAUACUGUCUCAUUUUUAAUCAUGUUCCAACUCACUGAAGAAUGGUUAGAUUUGUUUCUAUCUCUAAGGCGGGUAAAACCUCUCAUAGUAACCCAAAUGAACUCCGUCCAAUUAGCCUUUCAUCUUUCAUGCUGAAAGCUCUAGAAAGAAUUAUAGACUAUAAAUCCCAAUCUUUGGUCUCCGACACAAAACGCCUACACUAAGGGUAAAUCUACGAAGACAGCACUCCAUGCCCUCACUUUUACUACUAAAAAAUUUUUCAACUUUAAGGAGCUUUUAACGAAAUUUUUCCCGGUGUAAUAGCAAGCGCACUCUCUCGUCCGGGUGAUGAGGAUGCUUUCAUCAGCUUUAUCGGCCAGUUAUUAACUGGCAGAAAAAUUGAAGCAUAAAGGGGUGUAUCAGCAGCACACAGACGGGAAAAUAGAGGUACCCCCAAGGAGGCGUACUCUCACCCCUUCUCUUGAAUAUAGUGGUGAAUGAACUGCUGAGGAGAGCGGGCUACGGGACAGUUGCAUAUGCGGAUGAAAUUGCGUUAACAGUUACUGAGAAAUAUGCUACCACUUUAAGGGAUAUUUUGCGAUAUGGCCAAUAUAUGCUUAACAAUUGG